rnacentral:rRNA from 1 species
GACGAGCCUCACAAACGUUAUUCGGAAAUUACUGGGCUUAAAGGGUGCGUAGGCGGUGCGGAAAGUUGGGUGUGAAAUCCCUCGGCUCAACCGAGGAACUGCGCUCAAAACUGCCGUACUCGAGGAAGAUAGAGGUGAGCGGAACUUACGGUGGAGCGGUGAAAUGCGUUGAUAUCGUAAGGAACACCCGUGGCGAAAGCGGCUCACUGGGUCUUAUCUGACGCUGAUGCACGAAAGCUAGGGGAGCAAACGGGG